AAAUUAUUCAGAAAAAUAGGAAAGCCAAACACAGCCUUCAGAAACUGCACAACUGUGGAAACUAACACGCUGAUACCUUGAUACUGCUUUCCCGACAGUGAAGGUGGCGUGUGCGUGUGUGUGUGUGUGUUCGUUCGCUUCGCUUGCUUUUUGCUGCGUAUCAGCCCCAUCAAAACCUCAGUGGGAGACAAGACACAGUUAAUUCCGACUACCUAAUUCCGAUCUGAGAAUUUCGCGGCACAAAACCCAUUGAUUGAUGCGCUUUCGCUCUCGCGGAGGGAUAUUUUCUUCGAUCCUUUGUUAUCAACGUCGAAAAUUUACAGAUCUUUCGUACAGAAACCGGAACGUCACAGGAAUCGCGUUAAUUAUACUUCAGUUUCCUCUGUACCCAGUAAAAUUUUACUGGGCUGCCACAAGUUGCAGCUGUUGAGCGAUUUUGAGGCGAAAACUGGAGGAAACUGGAAAGCCCAUUUGCUGGGGGGCAGUGUUUUUUUGUUGUUGUAGUGGUGUAGAAUGAGCUUGCGAUAGUUUGGAUUUCUGGGUUUUGGUAUUUUUGUCUUGGGAUUGUAAAGAUGUCCAAUGAUGCUAAUUCGAUUUCGUAUAGGGGGAUGUCUUCCGACAAUAUUAAAGGGUUGGUGUUGGCUUUAUCCUCCAGUUUCUUUAUUGGCGCCAGCUUCAUCGUUAAGAAAAAGGGAUUAAAGAAAGCCGGUGCUUCUGGCGUCAGGGCUGGAGUCGGAGGGUAUUCAUAUCUAUACGAGCCACUAUGGUGGACAGGCAUGAUAACAAUGAUUGUCGGAGAAAUUGCCAAUUUUGCGGCUUAUGCAUUUGCACCAGCCAUUCUGGUUACCCCUCUUGGUGCACUCAGCAUUAUUAUCAGUGCUGUACUUGCACAUGUUAUUUUAAGGGAGAGGCUACACAUUUUUGGUGUUCUUGGUUGUGCUUUAUGUGUGGUGGGCUCAACCACGAUCGUCCUACAUGCUCCACAAGAACGUGAGAUUGAAUCUGUCAGAGAAGUCUGGGACCUUGCUACAGAGCCGGCUUUUGUCUUUUAUGCAGUUCUGGUGAUAGCGACCGUGCUCAUUCUAAUAUUUCGUUAUGUUCCUCAAUAUGGCCAGACGCAUAUAUGGUUCUACAUUGGUGUCUGUUCACUAGUUGGUUCAUUGUCGGUCAUGAGUGUCAAAGCACUGGGAAUUGCACUAAAGCUGACAUUGUCAGGAAUGAAUCAACUAACAUAUCCCCAGACAUGGGUCUUCGCUAUGGUUGUCAUUGUUUGUGUCCUCACUCAGAUGAAUUACCUAAAUAAGGCCCUAGACACAUUCAACACCGCCGUAGUUUCACCCAUUUACUAUGUCAUGUUCACAUCCUUGACUAUUGUUGCCAGUGUGAUCAUGUUCAAGGAUUGGGACAGGCAGAAUCCAACCCAGAUUGUCACAGAACUCUGUGGAUUUGUGACUAUUCUUUCGGGGACCUUUCUUCUUCACAGGACAAAAGACAUGACCGACGGUUCUAUGGUGGCCUCGAGACUCGCAAAGCAUGGUAAUGAAGAUGGUUUUGGUGAUGAAGGCAUCCCUCUGAGGCGGCAGGAUUCGUCAAGAACGCCGUGAUGUAUUUUUCUUAUUCCUCGUUGACUUGUAACUCUUUCUGUCGAAAGCGAGCUCCCAAAAUCAUGCUCUUUGGGGAAGGAAAACCUACAAGAGUGCCAGCAGCCUUCAAUUUUCUUCUUGUAAAUGUAUUUUUGCCAGGUUUUUUCUUUUAUUACAAACCACAAUUGCAGUUUUGCACGCCAAAAAAUGUGGCAAAAUUCACAUUCCAUGUCAGGGGAAAAAAGGAAAAAAAAAAAAACCCA